rnacentral:rRNA from 1 species
GACGAACGCUGGCGGCGUGCUUAACACAUGCAAGUCGAACGGAAAGGCCCUGCUUGUGUGGGGUGCUCGAGUGGCGAACGGGUGAGUAACACGUGAGUAACCUGCCCUUGACUUUGGGAUAACUUCAGGAAACUGGGGCUAAUACCGGAUAGGAGCUCCUGCUGCAUGGUGGGGGUUGGAAAGUUUCGGCGGUUGGGGAUGGACUCGCGGCUUAUCAGCUUGUUGGUGGGGUAGUGGCGUACCAAGGCUUUGACGGGUAGCCGGCCUGAGAGGGUGACCGGCCACAUUGGGACUGAGAUACGGCCCAGACUCCUACGGGAGGCAGCAGUGGGGAAUAUUGCACAAUGGGCGGAAGCCUGAUGCAGCAACGCCGCGUGCGGGAUGACGGCCUUCGGGUUGUAAACCGCUUUCGCCUGUGACGAAGCGUGAGUGACGGUAAUGGGUAAAGAAGCACCGGCUAACUACGUG